UUCUUAUUUGGCUUCUGGGCAUGUUGAGAAAAUGGGAAGAAUUGCUUUGCUUGGUCUUUAGUUGCAGAGGAAGUUAGUGGAAAUGGUUUUGCAUUUGUAAAUGGAUUUCAGAUAUUUGCCUUGUCUGGCCACAGAGCUUGGUAGUCACCGAGGAGGCUUACGGUUAAGUAGGAGCCAGGCCUCCUGUGGCUUUCUGCAACAGCUAAACCUUUCCAGGCCAUUGUUUUUGCUGGUGAGUGUGGCUGGUAUUUUGGUUGCUUUCUGUCAACAUCCGGCUUGGUUUGGUCCCUACCUAGGAAACUGCUCACUUGACAAAAGGUAAUUAUUAGAUUCCUGGUUUUCUUCUCACCUUGUAAAUUCUCUUGUUUGUUUUUCUUUUUUGACAAAUAGGAAUGAGGUGUGUUUACUACUGGAGCCUCGGGCUGUCAGAACCCAUAGGUUUGGUUUGCCUUGGUCCAGCCUGCCAGAUUGCAUGCUUUUGAUUUGGAAGAGGUUCUGGUGGUGUGUUUGCCAGCAGGGAUCACGUACAGUAAAAAUCAUGGGUAGGAGAAAUGGCCUUUCAGCUUUUCCCAUCUUCCUUCCUUCCAUUGUCUACACUCCUGGUCCCACCUUUUCCUUGGGGACCCGGAUGCUUGUGCUGGAAUCUAAUCAGUGUCCAAAGCUUAAAAUUCUCAUCCCCUCAUCUCCCUGCUUUUUUCCCCUUCAUUUUCUCUUGACCCUCACUUCCUUGGUUUAUUUCCAGACCCUCCAGGGCCUGUGUUUUCCCUUUAAAUGAUCCUAUGCCAUCCAGAGGAGACUCAAGAGCGCCGCUUCGCUUUAAUUUGGGAUUUUAGGCAGAGGCCUUCCCAUGUCUCUCAAGUUGCACUUGCAAGACUUGAGAAGCAUCGACUGCUUCGGUGAUGACGUUUAAAGUUGGCUUCCUUUCCUACCACUCUGACUCCCCUCUAUUUUCUAGAACUGGGUUUAUUAUUCAGUCUUUUGAAAAUGAUUUAUUACCUUCUAUAGCAAUGUUGGAAGGAGCUUAAUUUUCGAAGUGCGUAGUUCUCUUUAUGGUGAGAGUGAAGUAAAGGAGAUCUGAUUGAUCUUAUGACAAAAUUGCUUUAGUCAUAGCUAGUAUGAAAUCUCUUAAGGGCCCUGUUUUAUUUGCUCUUUUAAUUUAUGAACCUUCUUGGAUCCUUCAAGCAUCUGUGUACCAAGGCAAUGAUGCAUUAUCUGGAACAUGUAGGACUUCAUUUCUGCCCCCAGUAUGUCAUGAAGUGCUAUAGGGUUCUGAUACUUUGUUAGAUUUUGGUGUGAAUUAGGGAGUAGUGGUGUCAGCAAGCGUGUGUUUCAGAAAUUUGUUAAUUGUUUUUUCCAAAAGAAAAUGUAAUAUUAGCUGGAAUAAGCUGGCAGCCAUAGGGUGUGCAUUAGAUCUGGAAGUAAGCAAAAAAGACCCCCAGUUAAGUAGAAAGUAGCUACUAUAAAGCCCAUUUUCUUUUCCUGUAGGUCAGGGCCAUGUCUUCCUAAGGCUUCCAGAAAAGACCAUGUAGUGAAAUAGGAAUAGCGUGGACCCAGUAUCCUACAGCUGAGGGCAGUUGGAAGGGAGGAGAAGAGAAAAGAGUUAGACCAGCUCAGAAGGGUGGGCCCCUUCCUACUCUGGAAUCCCGGCAAGUCUCACUAAGCCACAGCAGAGCAUGCUUAUUGGUGUUAGGUUGGUCAUUCAGAAUAGUCAAAAUCAGUGUCCUCUGCUUUGGUGCGCUGGGAUGCAUGUAAUCCACUGAGGAUAGUUUCCAUGAAAAUAAUUUUUGAAUUUUGCUUUGUAAAUUUUAAUGAGCUUGAGUUCACUAAGAAAAUUAAUUUCUGUAGAACAAUUCCUUCCUUUAAUGUUGGCCCAAAUGAGGCAGUUAGUGUGGAAUUUGGGCCUUGGUGGAAUAACAUGGAAACAUUUUCUGGACACAUAGCCUGACGUGAGGACAGCCAUUGUUGAGCAGUGUGAGGGAAGGAGGAUUGCCUACUGAGUGACCGGGGCCGAGCAGGAGGCUUCCUGCUUGACCUCCAAAUACUCUGGCACUUCCUUUUUGGGGUCAGGAAGCUUCCAAAUCCAGAGUUCUCUCCGUUUGCUGUUCUUAGUUUUCCCAUGGAACCUCCAUACCAGACGAAGUGUGCCUAGGGUUGGGACUAGGUUUACUUCUCGUUGAAUCUCAACACGAUGCCUAGCACACAUAAUUCUCAGAAAAUGUUCGUUGAUUGUCAGGGUCCAGCUAAUCUUGUUUAUUUUGUGGUUUUGUACCUUUCUCUUUCAAAGGAUUGCUGUAUAAAUAAAUCCAUUUUGGUUUGCAAAAUCAUGGUUGUCGUGUCAUCCUUUGAAAGUUAGAGAAGCAGGAAAAUCUUUUAAGGAUGAUUGAAAUCUCCACUCUAUAAACCAUCCCAAUUAAUAUCUGAUUUCUUCUUUGAAAAACAUUAAUUGUAUCUCUUCCUCUGUAGAACCUUCCCUAACACCUCCCAUUUAUCAGAACAAAUUUCAUUUCUGAAUUCUUGAAGCAAUUAGUUUUUAGCUUACUUUGUGUGUCCUUUUUUAUCCAUCCAUCUAUCCAUCCGUUUAUCCAUCUCUGUCCAUCCAUUGAGCCAUCUUUGGGAGAGACCUGGGAUGUCUAUGAUCUGAAGCACAGAGUGUUCUAUAUCUGGGAAGCAUGGUGGUCAUGCCCACACUAGCAUGCUGGGUUGUGGUUGUGCCUUCUCUUGUCUUCUGUAGAUUGGGAGUCUCACCAAAGGAGGGGAUGGGAGGGCUAGCUUGAGUCAAGGUACGUAAGUUGGAACAUUGCAAAUGGGGUUCAGGGUACCCAGGGUUGUCCCUCUUUGGUCAGGCCAAGGUCAGCAAAGCGCCAGCUGUUUUUGUAUGCAAAAAAAAAAAAAAAAAAGAGUAAGCUAAAUGGUGUUUAUGGUUUUUAGGGGUUGUAAAAAAAAAAAAAAAAAGUGUAAAAAGUCCAAAGAAGAUGCAACAUACCGUGUAUAUGCAACCUGCAAAACCUAAAAUAUUUAUCAUCUGCUCCUUUAUAGAAAAAGUUGUCCCAACCCUGGUUAGAGCUCCGAGUGUGGGUAGAGCUGUCUCACAGAUCGACUCUGUCCCAGAGAGUGUCCCAGCCUGGGCCAGAAUACUGGGUUGUGAGGAACCUUAAGGACACUUGUCUAGUGGUCUGUAGGACGCAUGGUCCUGUUUAGACAUUCUGCUUGCUGUGGUGACUCAGGGACCUGCCGCUGGUGAAAGCAGCCUUUUCUUCCCCAGGAGAUUUAUAGUAAAUCAAAGUAAGUACUUUUGCCUUUUCCUCUGUGGUCUUGAUUUUACCUCUUGAUUUCAAAAGUAAGUCCAGGUGACAGGUGGAUCAGAGUUGGAUUAUGGAAGACUAAGCAUGUCAGUGGGAAUUGAUUUAGAAGAUUGUGGGGAAAUAUCAAGGGCUUUUGUGAAGGGGAGUGAUAUGACCAUAGCUGGGCUUAGGAAGCCUGGUCUGGCCUGGUUGGGGAUCCAAGGUAAAUGGAGCAGGCUGGAAAGGUUAGGGGGGCAAGGAGACCAAUAGGAAGCAUUGGCAACUGCCGUGGUGAGUGGAUGUAGGGGUCUGGAUUAGGGCAUUGUGUAUACAAAGGAAGGGACAUAUUCCAGGGAAGUUAAAUGGCAACUCCUCAUUUUCUAGUUUGUGGCUGUCAGCCGGGGUAGGUUGGUGUGUGGUUGGCAUGCUUAGGCUGGCGUUCCUCCCUCCCUUCCUACUUCCACAGAGCACCUGCUCCAUACCAGACCCUGGGUUCUGCAGAGUUCCUGUCUGGAAGGUGCCCAUGAGCUGGAGGAAAGGAGAAACGAUGGUUCUGCCAGGGAGGAGAUGACAUUAAAGGCAGAGGUUGUGUCCUAUGCCUCAUGUGAGCCUGUCUCUCCCUGAGAGGGGCUCAGAAGGUUGACUGUUAGAAGUCCCACAGCUGGCUGGCCACAUAGACAAUAAUGCUGUAUACUAGAAAUGAACGUUAUAAUAAAACUCUUAAAAAUACAACCUUAUCUCUACUUUUAAGGAACCUACCGUUUACAAAUAAAAGAUCAUCCAUUCAUUUGUUCAUUCAGUAUCUGUUUUCUGUAAAGCACAUUGUAUGGCUGUAUGUCCUUAUGCAUAGUAAUUGCCAAAAUGCCUAUUGCAGGGAGCAGGGUCACCUCCCUGAGGCCAUGCUGAACUUGAAGUGGGUCUACUUUCUGCCCCUCUUGAGCUUUUAUUUCCGCAAAUACCUUUGCCUCAUUUAUUGAUUUGAGAAUGUUCCGUAAUGACUUCAAGGACACCUUCCAGCUUGGGAAUUCUGUAAUUUUAAAGUACAGCUUGUUGAAGGGCUUUAUGAUAAAGGGGAAGUUAGGAGCAAGUGCUCUGAGCUUGUCCUGCUCUGGAUGCUGGCCUCUGCACAAAGGUCCUCACAGGCUGCCAUGGGGAAGACCGUCCUGGGUCACUUCUUCCUCCCUCUUAAGCCCUGGAAGAGAGGACUUGAACGAGUCACUGGGAGCCUGGAAAAACAAUGAACAUGCUGUCCAUCCACUAAAAACAUCGGCAGUCUAGCAUGCAGUGUGCUCUUCCCUGGUCUAACAUCACCAGUGUGUGAUCUCUGCACUCACUCAGUGACCAGAAAGGCGGGAGGUCUGGAGAGAGAUUGCAGGUGGCUCCCUUGGUCAGUCAGGAGCCAUUCCCUUCUCCUGCAUGCUGGAGGGGUGCACGAUGGGCCUGAUACAGGCUGUUGACAGUGGAGCAGAGGUGUCACUUAGCCAGAAGGGUAAGGGGAGCUCAGACCCAGUCCAGGUAUUCAGGUCCUGCUCCCUGGUGAGAGGAGCUAUGUGUGAGUGGUGGCCUGUCGGAUGGCAGAGAAUCUCCUCCUCUCUGGUGGAUCUGGAAUCCUGCUCAUCUGCCAUCCAGCGUCUCCAGCCCUGCUGUGCCUGAGAAGUCUUCAUUUCUCACUGGUAGCCUCCAUUGUCUCUACUUCCUACAUUUUCAGGGCACUUGGCCUCUGCUGUACCCUCAGCCCCUAAUCCUAAGGGCGUGUGCUCUAUGAAGAGGGCCCUGUGUGCUGCAGUGCCUGACGCAUGAGUAUUGUGCCUGCCUCCCUCAGUGUUGUUCAGCAGCAAGCCUCCUCUAAAGCAAGUGCACCAUUUUCAUGGUGGACUUGUUUCCUGUGUUUGUAUUCUUAUUUCCUGAAACCAAACUGCAAACUCCUGAGAACAGGAGCUCUUUUUUCUUUUUUUAAAAUAAGCUCUCAUUUUUAUUUAUUCUUGGCUAUUUUCACAACACUGUUUGGGUGGGACAGGGCACAUGCACACUUUACAGCUGAGAAACAGCAUCACAGAGGUUUAAUGGCUCUGUAAAAUAAGGUAAUUAGUAAGCGGUGGCCCUGAGACUUUAACCAGGAUCUUAACAGCCCUUGUUCAGUGAAUGAUCGUUCUGUUACCCAAAACCAGCUGAGUAUUUAGGAGGGGCUCAGGAACCAUUUUAUUGAGUUAAAAAAAAUGUGGUAAGAUAUUUGUGAGUACAUGUGCCUAUGCACGGAUUCUGUAUGCUUAGAAACUUCUUUGACCAGCCUCUUAAUUUGAAAAGGGAUUUUAAGGUUUGUAUAUGCAUUGUUUGUUGCAGGUACUGUUUUUGGAAGUGACUAGUGAGGACAGAUAACUUAGAAAUAUUUGCAUGUUACAUCAGAAGGGCGUUAACAGUACCGGUUACUGUUUAACACUAGUGGUAUUAGCUGUUCCAGCAAAAGGCGCUGCUGAUUCGUAAUAACCAGAUAAUAGCAACGAGAUUGGAGAGUACAGUCCAGAUCACAUUAUGAGUGUAUAUAUAGUUUAAAUGCAAUGCGGGUGAACCUUUUAAUAUGAGGUUUUAAGAAUUCUGGAAUUUAAGUGUGAGACAUAAUUCAUGGUGUAUAUUCGAUAAGGACAUACUCUUUGGCCAUAUAACCUUCGGAAGUCAUAAUCUUGAAUUAUUUGUCAUUGGAAUGAAUCAUCCUGUUGAGAGAAUCAUAUCUUCCUUCAGUGUUAAAAAUACACGUAUGUCAUCUGUCAUGGUGAGUAUUCCAGUUACAAUGCAUAUUUCUUUUUUUCACAUCCUGCCCACUCCCUCGGUGUUAUCCUUGAGAAGAGAAAGAUUUUAGAUGAUGUCUAAGUGGUUCCCAGUCUUUGAGUCUAUAAUCACAUCCCUGCUUUUCCUCAUUUCUUUUGGUUGCUAUGUUUUGAUAUUUGUCUUUGGUCUCUUUCUUUGGGAAGAGUGAUUGGGCGGCUCCAGAAGGAGUGAACCCAUCUGGGAGCUGAUAGUUGAUGCAUUUUUGUUAUGCUUGGUGGAGGGAGCAGCCCCCUUCUUCCUGAGCAGAGUUCAUGUGUGAUAUACAAACGAAUGGCUCUUUCCAUCUGGCCAUCACAGAGGCAAGAAACAAUGGUGCCUCUGGAGCACUGAAUUUCUCAGACUCUCAAGGGACAGCAGAAUGUGUAUGUGAACUGGCACACCCAAAUGCAAAUUAUUCCUGGUGACACCUAAUAUAUGUAAAUGUAUGCUGCUCAGUUGGCCAAGAAAUUAUGAACGGCACUCUUUCUAAAUAAUGCUAUAUAACUGAAAUUUUAAUUUUAUCAUCACAAUGGUGAAGUGCAUUGAUAGUCCUAUUUCCUGCCAAAUUUCUGUGACAUUUCCAGCAGCUUCAAGCACCCCUCACGGGCCGACUGUACAGAGGUGGAAGAUCUGGCGUUUUAGGAGGGAGUGCAGCCAGGCUCCCUUCUGAAGGCUGGGCUUGCCUUCUUAGGAUGUAGGGAUCUAGUGGUUGAGGGCUAGGGGCAGAAAGUGGACAAUCAGGAUAGAGACAGGACUCGGCAGAGGAGAGGACUUUUAGUACGGAUGUACUAAACAUCUCUACAGAUGCGGGCCCCCCACAUCAUCACACUUAACUUCAGGAACAAAGAAAGCCAGCAGCUCUAAAGACAAUAGGGCGUACCUGCAGAGCCGGUGGCGGGGCAGGUAACCUGUGCUGCUUCCGUGGUGGACUUUGCAGUUGCCUUAGGGAUGGUGACCCGCAGCCUGGACUUUGCUCAGUGGUGCCCGUCACAGAGAGCCUCAGCCUGACCUCUGCUGUCUUCACCCUUUGACCUCCCUUGAGCCUGGACUGAGGGGUUUCCCCUGUCUUUUGAUGAACCAACCUGAGUCCAGCCUCUCACUGAGCUGGGCACCGGGGGCAGCUUCAAAGGAGACAGGAGAAAUGGCCAUCCCCCUUGGGUGCUGCUGGCCUGGCAGGAGAGGCCUAGCCUGUGUCUAGGGAGGAGUGAGGCAGAUGUGGCCAGCAUGGAGCUGGCUGCUUUCCUAUAGCAGCCGGAAUCUCAGCCGAGCCUGGAAGGACAUGCAGGUGUUAGGUAGUUGGGGUUGUUAGGCACAGGGCUGGUCACAGAGCACUGGAGGGAAUUGGUUGAGUCAGUGAUGGAUUAGUUGAUAGCAAAGGGAGACUGGAGAGAGGGGAGAAAAUGCCUGAGCCUAAGAAUGGGAGAUAGGCUGCCUGGAGAACACAGAGGAAGUACCCCGCCCUGGAGGUGUGUACUCCUCCCAUCCCCUGUAAAUUGGGAGUGUGCCAGUGUGUUG